UACGUAAAAACCAAGCGUUGUCCGGAUUUAUUGGGCGUAAAGAGCUCGUAGGCGGUUUAGAUAGUCGGAUGUGAAAACUCCGAGCUCAACUCGGAGACGCCACCCGAUACUGCCAUGACUAGAAUCCGGUAAAGGAGCAGGGAAUUCCUGGUGUAACAAUGAAAUGCGCAGAUAUCAGAAGGAACACCAAUAACGAAGGCGCUGCUCUAGGCCGGUACUGACGCUGAGGAGCGAAAGCGUGAGUAACAAACAGG
rnacentral:rRNA from 1 species